CACCACAACACGAGCCAAAUCUUGUCCACGUGUUGUCUGGAGUUCUGAGGGCGUGGGGGGGGGGGAGAUGAACAGCAGCCUCACUCACGGCACCCAACCCACACACAAUGGAGGAGGAGGCGUGGGAGAGCCCCCCGCAGGUACACAGGGGGCGCAACCCACUCAGAACCCACCCCAGCCCACGCCACACGCCCUUAAACACGCCAAGACACACCCCAGGAAGCAGUCGUGACACGUCGCCAAACUGGAGUGAAGUUUCUGAUCAAUCCCCGCCUCGAUUGAUCACCACGGGGCCCACACGUGGUUCCCCAGGGGUCCAGACACGCCACGGGGGCCGCAGGUCACCUCUCAGGGGCGGGAGAGGCGAAAAAACCCCAGAGGAACCCCAAGGAACGCGAGGAUUCGGACGCUUCCAGUGCGCGGAUGGAGGUAUUGUGUUUGGUGACUCAAGGACUGGUAUGUGUCUUCGCUUUACUGCAGGCUGUUCCCCUGGGGCUGGUGACUGGGGCAUGGCAGCAUCAGGGGCCAGAUGUAUGCCCACUUUACGUCUAUCGUCCCCCAGGGUUCGGGAUACACUGGGGUAAUGAAGAUUUGACAUCGUGUAAAGCUGCAGCAUUUCUUCCCAUCUUGGUGGCGGGACUGUCCGUUACUCUGGCUGUGUCUCACGGCUGUGUGCUGCAUGUGUGGCGCGUCGCGGGCCACAAGCCAGUCACUGCGUCCUCCGCGGUGUAUGCCAGGGUGACGGUGGUGCUGGUCUUGUUGCAGCUAUUAGUGGCGUUCACUGGAGUCGUGAUAUUAACAGAAGGCUUCCGGCAGACUUGCAUCUCCUUUGACCUUAGCUUAUCUUGGAACGAGGCGCCGGAAACUUGCAAGAAGAGGCUGGGUGACAGGGACGCCUCCUACGCCAUCCCCAACACCUUCGUCAGGCUGGUCAUCGGGAUGGUGGGGGGGUGGGGGACCUCUGUUCUAUCUGCGUUCCUUCUUGUGGUAUGUUGUGUCCGGGCGAGGUUCUGUAAGUGUCAGCUGUUGUGUUGUGUGUGAGUGUGUGUGUGUGUGUCUGUGUGUGUGUGUGUACGUGUCUUAUUGCUAUUUCUAUUACUACUAUUACUACUGCUGCUACUACUGUGUGUUGUUGUUGUUGUUGUGUUACUACUAAUACUAUUUUUACUAUUAAUGUUAAACUAGUCUAGCUUAAGUACUACUACUACUUCUACUACUACUACUACUACUACUACUACAUGAUCAAAAUUUUAAAAUGCAUGUUUUUUUGUAUUUUUAUAUAAUUAUAUUUAUGUGGUUAGUGUUUACAUAAUGUUAAUUGAAAUAAUAAUAAUAAUAAUAAUAAUAAUAAUAAUAAUAAUAAUAAUAAUAAUAAUAAAACCUAUUUUCACAUUGUAA